rnacentral:rRNA from 1 species
CGACGGAGAAAGCCCAGCACUGAAGCCCGUUAAUAUUUUUAUAUUAACGUGCAAUGUAGUGUUUGGGAGAACUCUUAACCAAUAUAUUAAAUAAAUUUUUCAAGUCCUUCUUGAAUGGGGCCACACUUCCAUAGAGGGUGCCAGGCCCGUAGAAUAAUUAUAUAGUUUAUUGGUGAGUUUCUCCUUAGAGUCGAGUUGCUUGAGAGUGCAGCUCUAAGUAGGUGGUAAACUCCAUCUAAGGCUAAAUAUAACCACGAGACCGAUAGAUAACAAGUACCGUGAGGGAAAGUUGAAAAGAACUUUGAAGAGAGAGUUCAAAAGUACGUGAAACCGUUCAGAAGUAAACCUGUUAUACUCCAAAUUAUUUAUUAAUAUACAGGGAGAUUCAACAUCUUUACCGAUUACAACACAACAUUAAUAAUAUAAAUGAAUGAGACGGGCUUAUAAACAUAAUACUAUAUAUUUAUAUAUAUGUUUAUGUAUUUUAUAACGUUCGCUCAGUUUUUGUUUGUAUAGUUUGUAUCGGAGUUGUGCACUUCUUCCUGUAUUUUUUUACGUCACGACAUGUUGUUGUACUGUUUUAUGGGCUAUAAAGUUAGACCGUGGCAUUAAGACAUAUGUGCUUAUAUGACCCGGACUUUUAGUAAUUUUUUUAUAAUAAAAUAUAUACCUAACAGUCUAUACAACAUUAUAAUAUAUAUAAAAUAAUAUAUCAUAAAUAAUAAGAUAUAAUUUAUUUAUUGUCAGUGACGUACUUAAUUAUAUGAGUAAUAACAGGACCCGUCUUGAAACACGGACCAAGGAGUCUAGCAUAUAUGCAAGUCAUCGAGUCAAUAUUUUAUAGACUCAUAGACGUAAUUAACGUAAAUGUAUAAUAAUAUAAAUUUAAUAUAUAUAUGGAAAAAAAAUUUUUUUUUUUUAUAUAUAUAUAUAAUAAAAUAAAUUUUACUUAGGGAAGAUGAGUAGAAAUAUUAUAUUUUAUAAGAAAGCUACUCCGCAUUCCCGGGGCGUUCCAUAUAAAUUUUAUUAUAAAUAAUUUUUUUUAUUUAUUUUAUAAUUUGGGGCGCACCAAGAGCAUAUACGCUGGGACCCGAAAGAUGGUGAACUAUGCCUGGUCAGGAUGAAGUCCGGGGAACC